GUAUAGAUUGAGUGGCUUUAACUAGAAUGUGAUCCCAGUUUUAACAAAAUCUAUUCACUUGAAUAAAUAGUAUCUUAAAAAAAGAAAAUCAUGUAAUCUCCAGACUAUCAAUUCCUCAAUCAUGACAAUAUUAUGUUACAAAGAAUUGUGUGGGAGCUUUCUUACUUGCUACUGAAUAACACACUUGACUCUCUAGAAACCAGAGCCAAACAGAUUUCAGAGAUCUGGCAUGAGUUACUGGCUUAAUGUAGCCCGAGCAUCGAUAGCAUCAGCGGUCAUACUUUCUACCUCAUGUGUGAGGGGGUCCGCUACACAACCCCCAUUAACUCUAAUUGAAGGUGUACUGCUGAUUUCUCUUCUAAACAAUAAUUAUAUAAAUCUCCCUCUAAGUGGCAAUGUAUCUUACCUUUAGCACACUCAUCAUUUUAAAGGGUAGUAGACAUCAGAGAUAAUUUUUAAACAAGAAUGCAAUCCUAUUCAUCUUGAA
rnacentral:lncRNA from 1 species